rnacentral:tRNA from 1 species
GCUUAUUUAGUUUAAAUUUAAAAACUUUGAUUUGUGGUAUCAAAAUUCUUUUUGAGGAUAAGCU